rnacentral:rRNA from 1 species
UGAAUACGAGACGCUAAGGCGUCGAAGUAGUGUAUGUCAUACUUCCAAGAAAAGCUUGCACUGUCAUAGAUAAAAAACGCCUGUACCAUAACCGACACAGGUGGGUAGGUAGAGUAUACUAAGGGGCGCGAGAUAACUCUCUCUAAGGAACUCGGCAAAAUAACUCCGUAACUUCGGGAGAAGGAGUGCCUUAUUCGUAAGGUUGCAAUAACAAGAUCCAAGCAACUGUUUAUCAAAAACACAGGUCUCCGCUAAGUCGUAAGACGAUGUAUGUGGGCUGACGCCUGCCCAGUGCCAGAAGGUUAAAGAAGUUGGUUAGCAAUUGCGAAGCUGAUAACUGAAGCCCUGGUGAACGGCGGCCGUAACAAUAACGGUCCUAAGGUAGCGAAAUUCCUUGUCGGGUAAGUUCCGACCCGCACGAAGGCGUAAUGAUUUGGAUGCUGUCUCGGAGAGGGGCUCGGUGAAAUAGACUUGUCUGUGAAGAUGCGGACUACCUGCACCAGGACAGAAAGACCCUAUGAAGCUUUACUGUAACUUGAAAUUGAAAUUGGACUUUAUUCGCGCAGUAUAGGUGGGAGGCGUUGAUUAUAAUCUUGUGGGAUUAUUGGAGCCAUCAGUGAGAUACCACUCUUGUAAUGUUAGAUUUCUAACUUUGAAUCAUUAUCUGGUCAAAGAACAGUUUCAGGCGGGCAGUUUGACUGGGGCGGUCGCCUCCUAAACGGUAACGGAGGCGUACAAAGGUUUCCUCUGAACGGUUAGAAAUCGUAUCUAGAGUGUAAAGGCAUAAGGAAGCUUGACUGUGAGACCUACAAGUCGAGCAGGGACGAAAGUCGGUCUUAGUGAUCUGACGGUACUGAGUGGAAAGGCCGUCACUCAACGGAUAAAAGUUACUCUAGGAUAACAGGCUGAUCUCCCCCAAGAGUUCACAUCGACGGGGAGGUUUGGCACCUCGAUGUCGGCUCAUCGCAUCCUGGGGCGGUAGUACGUCCCAAGGGUUGGGCUGUUCGCCCAUGAAAGCGGUACGCGAGCUGGGUUCAGAACGUCGUGAGACAGUUCGGUCCACAUCCGGUGUAGGCGUUAGAAUAUUGAGAGGAGCCUUCUUUAGUACGAGAGGACCGAGAAGGACAUACCUCUGGUGUACCAGUUAUCGUGCCAACGGUAAACGCUGGGUAGCUAUGUAUGGAGUGGAUAACCGCUGAAAGCAUCUAAGUGGGAAGCCCACCUCAAGAUAAGUAUUCUCAU